rnacentral:ncRNA from 1 species
UUAAUGGAGAGUUUGAUCCUGGCUCAGGACGAACGCUGGCGGCAUGCCUAACACAUGCAAGUCGAACGGACUUUUAGUUUUUAGUUUACUAAAUUCUAAAAGUUAGUGGCGGACGGGUGAGUAACGCGUGGGUAACCUGCCCAUAAGUUGGGGAUAACUCCGGGAAACCGGUGCUAAUACCGAAUAAGCUUAAUUUACCGCAUGGUAGAUUAAGUAAAGAUGGCCUCUUUACAAUGCUAUCGCUUAUGGAUGGACCCGCGUCUGAUUAGCUAGUUGGUGAGGUAAUGGCUCACCAAGGCGACGAUCAGUAGCCGGCCUGAGAGGGUGAACGGCCACACUGGGACUGAGACACGGCCCAGACUCCU